rnacentral:lncRNA from 1 species
CUAGGCGGGUCUAGGCGGCACUAGGCGGGUCUGGGUGCCAAGGUGGGUCUAGUUUUUUUCUUUUGUUCUUUAAGCCUACAGCCUAGCGAUUUUUCAAACUCAUGCACUGCAGAGCAGGUCUAGGCGGUGAUGGGAGAGUCUGGGAGGCGCUAGGAGGGUCUAGGCGGCGCUAGGCAGGUCUGGGUGCCAGAGUGGGUCUGGUUCUUUAGGGUUUAGGGUCUGGGUGCCAGGGUCUGGUUAUUUUCUUUUGUUCUUUUAGCCUAUACUGCCUAGCGAUUUUUCAAACUUCAUCUAUCUUUGCUAAUUGUUCGCACAAGUCUCAUUUUUGCAUCUAUCUUUGCAUCUAUCUCAAACUCCAUUAGUAAUCUGUCACAUUUUUUUCCAAGUACGUGUGCCAUUUUCUUCUUUGAAGCCAAUAUUUCGAGCAAUAACUGUAUCAGAUGCACCACCUUUUGACCCCAGCAAUAUUGUGUCAUUGCAGGCACAUUUCUGCAGCCACUUUCUUUUAGUCUAUUCCUUAACUUCAUUUUCUUCUAUGUUAAUUGAUGGGAUUCAAAAUUAUGGCAGAUCAUGUUUAGAAAGUUCGAAUUUGAUGGGAAACUAAAUCCUACUUUUGUGGAAGGGGCAUUUAAGCUCCCAUUAUCAAGCAUACGAGCGUAUCUAAAAGAGCCUAUUACUCCCAGGUUUCACAUUCUUUUCAUUUUGUUGGAUUAUCUUAUGACUAAACAUAAUUGAUCUGCUAGGUGCACUUUCUGUUUUAGUCUUUAAAGAAUCUCUUUGCUUGUGUUCCGUGUAGGUUCGUACACCUAGGUUCUGCAGGAGUUACCCGACCUGACAGGCCUGGACUUGAUCCAAGUAAACAACCUCCUGCUAUUCGCUUAAACAAGGAAUUGGAUUUUAUACUGACAUGCAAGUUGAAGGUUUCAUACUAAUUCAGUGCACGCUGUUUGAUAUUUUUAUAUAUAAUCAGUGUAUCAAAAUACCACUUCUUAGCUCUUUUCUGUUCUUUUUCUUUUUCUGGGUCAGAUUUAGCUCUUUCGAUUUUGUACAUUGAUAAGUUUCGGAGAAGGGGGAGGACUUAAUACGGGAAAUGGAAUACCAUAUACAAUUGUGAGGCCUUGUGCAUUAACUGAGGAGCCUGCCGGAGCAGAUCUCAUUUUCUACCAGGGAGACAAUGUAAUGGUAUAUAAUCUCUCUUUGUUGUAUGCCUGUGAUGACAUGUAUUGCUCUUUCUUUCCCUUAUAAUAAUAAUAAUAUCUGAAUGUUAUGAUUUAUAGUAUUUAUAUAUAUGCAGGGUAAGAUAUCAAGAGAGGAGGUUGCUCAGAUUUGUGUUGCUGUUGUAGUGCUUAAUGGAACUGCUUGAACUAUUGAAUAUCUUGCAGGUCAGGGAAAACUGUUAACCUCCCAAUUUGAUCUUAAAAGCAUACAAAAAAACUCCAAAACGCGUGCAAGUUGGUAAUUGAAAGGUUUCCUAUUUUAAUGUUCUUUCCAAGUCUGGUCAUGUUCCAUUUCCAUGUUGUGUUAUUUAAUAAAUUUGGGCCUUGCUGGAAAACCAGUAAUGUUUCAAC